CGCUCCACCCCUUUAAAAUCCCCAGGCCCGGCUGCCAGUCCCGGCACCCGGCACCGGCAGCAACCAGCCAGCGAGCGAUCGACCUAGACAGAGACAGAGGCACAGAGCAGGGAGCGGAGCAGCUAGCUCGAGAGCAGCAGCAGAGAGACAGAGAGAUGGUGAAGAUUCCGAGCCCCAGGAGGCUGUUCAGGAGCCGGUCCAGGAGCACGGCCGGCAGGAGCGGCGGCGCGGACAUCUGCGCCAUGGUCGCCGAGCACGAGAAUAUCGAGUGGGAGGUGCGGCCCGGCGGGAUGCUGGUGCAGAAGCGGCGGACGCCCGAGGAGGACGCGGCGGCCGUCGAGUACAUCCUGGUCAGGGUCGCCACCGGCUGGCAGUGGCACGACGUCUCCAUCGACACCACCGCGACCUUCGGCGACCUGAAGGUGAUGCUGUCGCUGGUGACCGGCCUGUGGCCCAGGGAGCAGAGGCUGCUGUACAGGGGCAAGGAGAGAGACGACUGCGACCACCUGCACAUGGUGGGCGUCCAGGACAAGGACAAGGUGCUGCUCCUGGAAGACCCGGCCGUGAAGGAGAGGAAGCUCAGGUCGACCACCCUGGCGCAGCUCAUGGGGGUGCCAUGCCACUCCUUCAUCCAAGUGUAGAGACUAUCCCCCCUGAGUUUCUUGCAGCUUCCUUUUUGUUUUUCCUCCUUCUUUCACUUUGUUUGCGUGAGCGACUGAGCAAAGAUUUCAGCUCAGUCUAACUGCAGUGUUCAGAGCCUGCUGAGUUUGAGGGCUUGAUGAAUUCGGCCAACCGAAUCAGGACGUUCUUAAAUUAGGAUAUACUUAUAUAUAUUCCAUUGUUGAGGACAGCAAUACAGUUCAUGAUUUCACAAGAUGCUCGGUAAAUCCUUGCCUUGUUUUCAGAAUCAAGUACAUGCCCCCAUUUUCUGCAUCAGCUCGGCAUGUACUGAACCACGGACAUGCUAGAGCAAUUCGCGCUGCUCUUUUUUUCAAGUCCGCAUGAACUUGCGCACACCUGCUGGUUCAAGUUGCAGUUGACAAAACCAAGCGGCAGCAGGUUCACGGCUACCAAACAUGCAGAAAAAAAAUGCCAGCUUGCGCUGAACUGCAAAGGCUGGACAGAAACCUGCUUUGAGCAAGCUGCCCUACCCACCAUCAACAACUACUCCCAAAAUCAUCGCAGAAUCAAGGAAAUGGUUGGCACUAUAAUGUAUUAACAUGAUUUGUACUAUGUGAUUUUUGCAUGGAGGAAAAGUCUGCGCUUUGAGGAUGAGCA